rnacentral:rRNA from 1 species
GACGAACGCUGGCGGCGUGCUUAACACACGCAAGUCGAGCGGUAAGGCCCUUUCGGGGGUACGACGAGCGGCGAACGGGUGAGUAACACGUGGGUGACCUGCCCUCAGCUCUGGGAUAAGCCUGGGAAACCGGGUCUAAUACUGGAUAUGACUCCAUGACGCAUGUUGUGGGGUGGAAAGCCUUGUGCGGCUGAGGAUGGGCCCGCGGCCUAUCAGCUUGUUGGUGGGGUGAUGGCCUACCAAGGCGACGACGGGUAGCCGGCCUGAGAGGGCGACCGGCCACACUGGGACUGAGACACGGGCCCAGACUCCUACGGGAGGCAGCAGUGGGGAAUCUUGCGCAAUGGGCGAAAGCCUGACGCAGCGACGCCGCGUGAGGGAUGACGGCCU